GACGAACGCUGGCGGCUUGCUUAACACAUGCAAGUCGAACGGAGUGGCGAACGGGUGAGUAACACGUGGGUGAUCUGCCUUGCACUUCGGGUUAAGCUUGUGAAACUGGGUCUAAUACCUGAUAGUGCAAGAUGAGCCCGCGGCCUAUCAGCUGGUUGGUGGGGUAAUGGCCUACCAAGGGGUCGACGUGUAGCCGGCCUGAGAGGGUGUACGGCCGCAUUGGGACUGGGGUACGGGCCAGACGCCUGCGGGAGGCAGCGGUGGCGAAUAUUGCGCAAUGGGCCGAAGCAUGCUGCAGCGGCGCCGCGUGGGGGAUGAAGGCCUUCGGGUUAUAAACUCCUUUAGACAGGGACGCGGUACCUGAAUAAGAAGCACCGGCUAACUACGUGCCAGCAGCCGCGGUAAUAC
rnacentral:rRNA from 1 species